UUUAUGCUGCCAAUGAAGAAAUGAGCACGCGAACACUGGCAGGAGUGAGCAGGCUUCUCUGGGACGUGUGAGUCUGCUAUAAAACUGCAGACAUUCACAGUCACACAGCAAACUUUCUCAUACACACCAGGGUGACUACGUGGAAGCUGUCUUGGUCAGAGCUGAGGAAGUGCAAUGCUACUUGUCCAGAUUCAGGCUGACUCCUAUGGUACUGCUUAAGCACUGUGAGCAUGCAUCUCCUUGUGCUCCCGGUUAGAAGAUGGUGUACUAAGUUGGGUGCCUGAACUGAGCUGUCCCAGCUCACUGUGGAUCUAUGCACCAAGUCCUCCAAAACAUUAAAACAUUGGGAAAAAUAGUGAUGGGACCCUGCAGAGGCCAGCUGCACCUGAUGAGGCUGAUAGAGAGAUGAAUUCUACACCUUUACUGGAAGCCUCCUCUGUGGGGCACGGUGUCAGCACUGCUAGUCCUGCUAGGACACAUACAGGAUCUGUAUGAGGAUGUAAUUCUUCAUUUUCCUUAACUUGUCUACUAGAUCCUGAGCUGUCUCCUCAUCUUUGUACAUGCUUAUGCUCUAAUGAUUUUUUUAAAAAUGUUACAAAUCUGUGAUGUUAUUAGAAAUGCAGAUGAUGUUACGCUUAUUAAAUGCUUAUUCAUUCUUUAAUGAUGCUAAGGUAGAAUUAUCAAAUUAUAUUAAUUUUAUUUAUUGCUAAUUUUUUAGCUGUGGCACCACCUUGUGGACAUUACUAGAUGAAAUGAAAAGUUUAUUAAUGUAAAUAACAGCAUCUAAAACAGAACAAUCAUUUGGAAAAAAAUAUAUUCACAUACGUUUUGCUAAAGCAGAGUAAAAUAAUUACAAAUUUCAUUCCUAAAAAUCCAGCUAUGAAAUAUAUAAAAAAA